AUUGAACGCUGGCGGCAUGCUUUACACAUGCAAGUCGAACGGUAACAGGCCUUCGGGUGCUGACGAGUGGCGGACGGGCGAGUAAUGCAUCGGAACGUGCCCAGAGGUGGGGGAUAACGCAGCGAAAGCUGUGCUAAUACCGCAUGUGAUCUGAGGAUGAAAGCGGGGGACCAGGCAGCAAUGUUUGGCCUCGCGCCUUUGGACCGGCCGAUGUCAGAUUAGGUAGUUGGUGGGGUAAAGGCCUACCAAGCCGACGAUCUGUAGCUGGUCUGAGAGGACGACCAGCCACACUGGAACUGAGACACGGCCCAGACUCCUACGGGAGGCAGCAGUGGGGAAUUUUGGACAAUGGGCGCAAGCCUGAUCCAGCAAUGCCGCGUGCGGGAAGAAGGCCUUCGGGUUGUAAACCGCUUUUGUACGGAACGAAAAGGCUCUGGCUAAUACCUGGGGCUGAUGACGGUACCGUAAGAAUAAGCACCGGCUAACUACGUG
rnacentral:rRNA from 1 species